GUUAAUGUUCACAGCCCUGGAAAAAUCAUGAGGUGGUGUCAACAACCCUCAGAAGUUGCUCAGGUAGUGCAGCUCAUCCAAGAUGGCACAUCAGUGUGAGCUGUCUGUCAGCACAGUGUCCAGAGCAUGGAGGAGACACCA